GAUGAACGCUGGCGGCGUGCCUAAUACAUGCAAGUCGAGCGAACGGACGAGAAGCUUGCUUCUCUGAUGUUAGCGGCGGACGGGUGAGUAACACGUGGAUAACCUACCUAUAAGACUGGGAUAACUUCGGGAAACCGGAGCUAAUACCGGAUAAUAUUUUGAACCGCAUGGUUCAAAAGUGAAAGACGGUCUUUCUGUCACUUAUAGAUGGAUCCGCGCUGCAUUAGCUAGUUGGUAAGGUAACGGCUUACCAAGGCAACGAUGCAUAGCCGACCUGAGAGGGUGAUCAGCCACACUGGAGCUGAGCCACGGUCCUGAGUCCUGCGGGAGGCAGCAGUAGGGAAUCUUACGCAAUGGGCGAAAGCCUGACGGAGCAACGCCGAGUGAGUGAUGAAGGUCUUCGGAUCGUAAAACUCUGUUAUUAGGGAAGAACAUAUGUGUAAGUAACUGUGCACAUCUUGACGGUACCUAAUCAGAAAGCCACGGCUAACUACGUG
rnacentral:rRNA from 1 species